UCGUCACACUAUCAUUAACUGAAUCCAUAGGUUAAUGAGGCGAACCGGGGGAACUGAAACAUCUAAGUACCCCGAGGAAAAGAAAUCAACCGAGAUUCCCCCAGUAGCGGCGAGCGAACGGGGAGGAGCCCAGAGCCUGAAUCAGCAUGUGUGUUAGUGGAAGCGUCUGGAAAGGCGCGCGAUACAGGGUGACAGCCCCGUACACAAAAGCGCAUGUGCUGUGAGCUCGAUGAGUAGGGCGGGACACGUGGUAUCCUGUCUGAAUAUGGGGGGACCAUCCUCCAAGGCUAAAUACUCCUGACUGACCGAUAGUGAACCAGUACCGUGAGGGAAAGGCGAAAAGAACCCCGGCGAGGGGAGUGAAAAAGAACCUGAAACCGUGUACGUACAAGCAGUGGGAGCACAGGUUUACCUGUGUGACUGCGUACCUUUUGUAUAAUGGGUCAGCGACUUAUAUUCUGUAGCAAGGUUAACCGAAUAGGGGAGCCGGAGGGAAACCGAGUCUUAACCGGGCGUUAAGUUGCAGGGUAUAGACCCGAAACCCGGUGAUCUAGCCAUGGGCAGGUUGAAGGUUGGGUAACACUAACUGGAGGACCGAACCGACUAAUGUUGAAAAAUUAGCGGAUGACCUGUGGCUGGGGGUGAAAGGCCAAUCAAACCGGGAGAUAGCUGGUUCUCCCCGAAAGCUAUUUAGGUAGCGCCUCGUGAAUUCAUCUCCGGGGGUAGAGCACUGUUUCGGCUAGGGGGCCAUCCCGGCUUACCAACCCGAUGCAAACUGCGAAUACCGGAGAAUGUUAUCACGGGAGACACACGGCGGGUGCUAACGUCCGUCGUGAAGAGGGAAACAACCCAGACCGCCAGCUAAGGUCCCAAAGUCAUGGUUAAGUGGGAAACGAUGUGGGAAGGCCCAGACAGCCAGGAUGUUGGCUUAGAAGCAGCCAUCAUUUAAAGAAAGCGUAAUAGCUCACUGGUCGAGUCGGCCUGCGCGGAAGAUGUAACGGGGCUAAACCAUGCACCGAAGCUGCGGCAGCGACACUGUG
rnacentral:rRNA from 1 species